AGAAAAAACAUGGAAAAAUGAAAGGCUGCAAUUGUCUGGUCCACAACAGGCAGUGGAGCUGGAUAUAUCUAUACUGUCAAUCUGAACAGAGGAUAUGGCUCGGCGUCUAGUCUUGUGCUUCCUGCAAUCAAAGGCGUUUCCCUAACUACAAGAAUGAUCCGUUUAUGCAGAGGACUUCUUUGGAUUCGGUGGACUACGUCGAUGCACAG